rnacentral:rRNA from 1 species
UACGAAGGGGGGCUAGCGUUGUUCGGAUUUACUGGGCGUAAAAGCGCACGUAGGCGGAUCGAUCAGUCAGGGGGUGAAAAUCCCCAGGGGCUCAACCCCUGGAACUGCCUUUGAUACUGUCGAUCUGGAGUAUGGAAGAGGUGAGUGGAAUUCCGAGUGUAGAGGUGAAAAUUCGUAGAUAUUUGGAGGAACACCAGUGGCGAAGGCGGCUCACUGGUCCAUUACUGACGCUGAGGUGCGAAAAGCGUGGGGAGCAAACAGG